AUGGCACCGAUUUGGCGGCUGGCCAUACCUCCUCCGUCAUGUGUCAGCCUUCUACUACUACUUGGUUUAUUCCUUUGGAGGCUUUGGCUGCUCUUCUCUGGAAGACAGAGCAGGGAACAGGAGGCAGCCAAGAGAGCCUCAGAGACUUCAAAGAAGCAUAAAUUCAAAAAGAUGCAGAAACUCACAGCUUCCCAGUGGGAAGAAAAUCUUAGGAUGAGCUGCUCCGAAGCUAAUGGGACACAAUUUUCAGGUCUCCCUAUGGGAUGGGCCCAGGAGUACGCAUUCUGGUCAAUGGAGAGAAGUCUUCAACAGAUCUUCCAACAUCUGGAAUGUGCAAGCCACAACAGGGUAGAACAGGCUCCUGAGGCGCAAGCACAGAGGAGGUUGAGGAAGAAAUGUGGGAAAACCUAUCUCCCUGUCUUGGAGGUGAGAGGACACACCCCUACUGAGGGAAGACAGCACAGGUCCUCUGAGAGGAGUGGUCACAGUUCCUCAGAUAGAACUCACUGU